rnacentral:rRNA from 1 species
GACGAACGCUGGCGGCAUGCCUAACACAUGCAAGUCGAGCGAGCAGAUCCCUUCGGGGUGAAGCUAGCGGCGGACGGGUGAGUAACACGUGGGCAACCUGCCUCAUAGAGGGGAAUAGCCUUCCGAAAGGAAGAUUAAUACCGCAUAAGAUUGUAGCUUCGCAUGAAGUAGCAAUUAAAGGAGCAAUCCGCUAUGAGAUGGGCCCGCGGCGCAUUAGCUAGUUGGUGAGGUAACGGCUCACCAAGGCGACGAUGCGUAGCCGACCUGAGAGGGUGAUCGUCCACAUUGGGACUGAGACACGGCCCAGACUCCUACGGGAGGCAGCAGUGGGGAAUAUUGCACAAUGGGGGAAACCCUGAUGCAGCAAUGCCGCGUGAGUGAUGACAGCCUUCGGGUUGUAAAGCUCUGUCUUCGGGGACGAUAAUGACGGUACCCGAGGAGGAAGCCACGGCUAACUACGUGCCAGCCGCCGCUGUAA